rnacentral:rRNA from 1 species
AUUGAACGCUGGCGGUAGGCCUAACACAUGCAAGUCGAACGAGUGGCGGACGGGUGAGGAAUACAUCGGACUCUACUCUGUCGGGGGGGAUAACGUAGGGAAACUUACGCUAAUACCGCAUACUAUUGAAUGAGCCGAUGUGGGAUUAGCUAGUGGGGGGGGUAAAGGCCCACCAAGGCGACGAUCCGUAGCUGGUCUGAGAGGAUGAUCAGCCACACUGGAACUGAGACACGGUCCAGACUCCUACGGGAGGCAGCAGUGGGGAAUAUUGGACAAGGGGCGCAAGCCUGAUGCAGCCAUGCCGCGUGGGUGAAGAAGGCCUUCGGGUUGUAAAGCACUUUCGUUGGGAAAGCGGUACCCAAAGAAGAAGCACCGGCUAACUCCGUGCCAGCAGCCGCGGUAAUAC